rnacentral:rRNA from 1 species
GACGAACGCUGGCGGCGCGCCUAACACAUGCAAGUCGAACGAGCGAGAGGAGGUUUACUUUCUCAAGCGAGUGGCGAACGGGUGAGUAACGCGUGAGGAACCUGCCUCAAAGAGGGGGACAACAGUUGGAAACGACUGCUAAUACCGCAUAAGCCCACGACCCGGCAUCGGGUAGAGGGAAAAGGAGCAAUCCGCUUUGAGAUGGCCUCGCGUCCGAUUAGCUAGUUGGUGAGGUAAUGGCCCACCAAGGCGACGAUCGGUAGCCGGACUGAGAGGUUGAACGGCCACAUUGGGACUGAGACACGGCCCAGACUCCUACGGGAGGCAGCAGUGGGGAAUAUUGCACAAUGGGGGAAACCCUGAUGCAGCGACGCCGCGUGGAGGAAGAAGGUCUUCGGAUUGUAAACUCCUGUUGUUGAGGAAGAUAAUGACGGUACUCAACAAGGAGGUGACGGCUAACUACGUG